rnacentral:rRNA from 1 species
UUAGAGUUUCUUUCUGGCUCAGGAUGAACGCUAGCGGCAGGCUUAACACAUGCAAGUCGAGGGGCAGCGAGAUCAGUGCUUGCACUGAUUGUCGGCGACCGGCGCACGGGUGCGUAACGCGUAUGCAACCUACCCAUUACAGGGGGAUAACACUGAGAAAUCGGUACUAAUACCCCAUAACAUCCAGGGAGGCAUCUUCUUGGGUUGAAAACUCCGGUGGUAAUGGAUGGGCAUGCGUUGUAUUAGUUAGUUGGUGGGGUAACGGCUCACCAAGACAACGAUACAUAGGGGGACUGAGAGGUUAACCCCCCACAUUGGUACUGAGACACGGACCAAACUCCUACGGGAGGCAGCAGUGAGGAAUAUUGGUCAAUGGACGCAAGUCUGAACCAGCCAUGCCGCGUGCAGGAAGACGGCUCUAUGAGUUGUAAACUGCUUUUGUACGAGGGUAAACGCAGAUACGCGUAUCUGUCUGAAAGUAUCGUACGAAUAAGGAUCGGCUAACUCCGUGCCAGCAGCCGCGGUAAUACGGAGGAUUCAAGCGUUAUCCGGAUUUAUUGGGUUUAAAGGGUGCGUAGGCGGUCGGAUAAGUUAGAGGUGAAAUCCCGGGGCUCAACUUCGGAAUUGCCUCUGAUACUGUUCGGCUAGAGAGUAGUUGCGGUAGGCGGAAUGUAUGGUGUAGCGGUGAAAUGCUUAGAGAUCAUACAGAACACCGAUCGCGAAGGCAGCUUACCAAGCUACUUCUGACGUUGAGGCACGAAAGCGUGGGGAGCAAACAGGAUUAGAUACCCUGGUAGUCCACGCAGUAAACGAUGAUAACUCGUUGUCGGCGAUACAGUGUCGGUGACUAAGCGAAAGCGAUAAGUUAUCCACCUGGGGAGUACGUUCGCAAGAAUGAAACUCAAAGGAAUUGACGGGGGCCCGCACAAGCGGAGGAACAUGUGGUUUAAUUCGAUGAUACGCGAGGAACCUUACCCGGGCUUGAAAGUUAGUGACGGAUCUUGAAAGAGGUCUUCCCUUCGGGGCACGAAACUAGGUGCUGCAUGGUUGUCGUCAGCUCGUGCCGUGAGGUGUCGGGUUAAGUCCCAUAACGAGCGCAACCCCUACCGUUAGUUGCCAGCAGGUCAAGCUGGGCACUCUGACGGGACUGCCGGUGUAAGCCGAGAGGAAGGUGGGGAUGACGUCAAAUCAGCACGGCCCUUACGUCCGGGGCUACACACGUGUUACAAUGGCAGGUACAGAGGGCAGCUACCCAGCGAUGGGAUGCGAAUCUCGAAAGCCUGUCUCAGUUCGGAUUGGAGGCUGAAACCCGCCUCCAUGAAGUUGGAUUCGCUAGUAAUCGCGCAUCAGCCAUGGCGCGGUGAAUACGUUCCCGGGCCUUGCACUCACCGCCCGUCA